rnacentral:sRNA from 1 species
GGCUGACGAUGCCCUGGGGAGAUCGGCGGAUAGAUCAAUUGACGGGGCUUGAUAUGGCUUCACGUGUCACGAUUUCAUAUUGAGUAGCUCUUGUUCAGGUUUAUUAGUCAAAAAAUUUGUAGAAUUGAAAGUGUUCACGAAUUUAUUUAUUUCAGGAACUCUUUAAACAUACGAGUUUCAUCCGUAUCUUCUCAUGGAAGAUGCGCAUUCACCUUACGAGAACUCAUGGAGAUGAUCCAGGAAGUUAAAUUAGGUUAGAAGGCAGGUGUGAGCACAGCCGCUUGUCGUAUUGUCCAGCGAGCAAACAUCCGGAUCUUCGCUAGGUUUUGGUCGGAGCCUUGCGACGGGAGGACUU